CCCCCCUGUUUUUCUUUCUUGAUUGGUUCUAGAGAAACUCUCUUUCUCCUAGGUUUUCUUCAGGGUCAUGGACUCUUCAGAAAGUCCUCUCUGGACACUUUAGCGGUCCUAUCUCUGUUGACAAAGAGUUCUUUUAGGAGACAAUUCAUUCAGAUAAAGUCCUUCAAGAAUGUACUUAAGCUGAUUAACGAAAUGUUCUGAAUGGGUGAAUACAGAAGAAAAACUGGAGUAUGGUAGAGGCAGAGAGAAUUUUUGGUUGAGUGUUGAAAUGCGUAAAGAUGAGAAAGAACACCAAUGGCAAAACACUUUGUUGGGCCAACACUGAGAGACACAAGUUAGUGGAGCGAAUGGGAUUAGAUACUCUAGUAGUCCUAACUUUAAAUGAUGGAUACUAGGCGUUGUAUGUAUCGACCCAUGCAGUAUUAAAGCUAAACCGUUAGGUAUUCUGGAUGGGGAGUAUAUUCGUA
rnacentral:ncRNA from 1 species